rnacentral:rRNA from 1 species
CCUACGGGAGGCAGCAGUGAGGAAUAUUGGUCAAUGGACGCAAGUCUGAACCAGCCAAGCCGCGUGCAGGAUGACGGCCCUAUGGGUUGUAAACUUCUUUUAUAAGGGGAUAAAGUCAGACACGCGUGCCUGUUUGUAUGUACUUUAUGAAUAAGGAUCGGCUAACUCCGUGCCAGCAGCCGCGGUAAUACGGAGGAUUCGAGCGUUAUCCGGAUUUAUUGGGUUUAAAGGGUGCGUAGAUGGUUUGAUAAGUCAGAUGUGAAAUCCUGCGGCUCAACUGCAGAAUUGCAUCUGAUACUGGUAGGCUAGAGUAUAGUUGCGGUAGGCGGAAUGCAUGGUGUAGCGGUGAAAUGCUUAGAGAUCAUGCAGAACUCCGAUUGCGAAGGCAGCUUACCAAGCUACUACUGACGUUGAUGCACGAAAGCGUGGGUAUCAAACAGGAUUAGAUACCCUAGUAGUC